rnacentral:rRNA from 1 species
GACGAACGCUGGCGGCGUGCCUAACACAUGCAAGUCGAGCGGGGUUGAAGCGAGGGGUAACUCGGACUUCUACCUAGCGGCGGACGGGUGAGUAACGCGUGGGCAACCUGCCUCAAGGUCUGGGAUAACAGCCCGAAAGGGCUGCUAAUACCGGGUAUGCUUGUGGCCUCGCAUGGGGCUAUGAGCAAAGGGGAAACCCGCCUUGAGAUGGGCCCGCGUCCCAUCAGCUAGUUGGUGAGGUAACAGCUCACCAAGGCGACGACGGGUAGCCGGCCUGAGAGGGUGACCGGCCACACUGGGACUGAGACACGGCCCAGACUCCUACGGGGGGCAGCAGUGGGGGAUCUUGCACAAUGGGCGAAAGCCUGAUGCAGCGACGCCGCGUGAGCGAAGAAGGCCUUCGGUUGUAAGCUCUGUCUGGAGGGACGAAGGAAGGUAGACGGUACCUCCGGAGGAAGCCACGGCUAACUACGUG